GGCGAGCUCCCAGCUCCCUGCCUGCAUUAGGGCCCACGUGCCCUGGGGUGCCCACUGUUGGGACCCUGGGCACACAGGAAGUAGAGCUGGCAUCAGAGCUGAGGAGAGGGUGGGCAGGAUGGGACUAUCACAGGCGGUGAGCCCUUGGGUGGUCAGGGUCAAGGGGUGGAGAGUUCCAGGGCUGCCCUGGCUGCCCCACCUCAUAGUGGCUUUGGACUGUCACCUUAGCUUGUAUUUUUUAAGUAUAACAAUGCUCCCCAUCCCAGCUUCUAAGAAGUUUUGUGUUUGCCUCAAUUUAUAGAUAAUUGUUAGGAAAUAUUGUUCCGGUGCUACAGAUGCCUUUGAAUAUUUUCUUGAGGUGAUUUUAGAGUAGACGGUCUCCUUUGAUAAUUAUUUCAAGCUUAUCAUUUCAUGCUUAAUCCAGAGCUCAGGGGAGGUGUUAAAUCCCUUGCCAUCUCUCAGUGGAUUCAUGUGGUGUGUGUGUGUGUGUGUGUGUGUGUGUGUGUGUGUGUGUGUGUGUGUAUGUGAGCAUUCAUCCAUGAUCAUGGGGAUGAAAUCGCCCUUAGUCUUCUCUGGCUCAGAGUUCCACGGCCUGAGUGCUCUUCUGCUCUGCAGUGCAGUUUCCCCAGCAGCUGUCCACUGGAUUCCCAUUGCCCCCAAUCUCCUACCCAUACAGCUGGUGUGAGCAACAGUCUUUACUGAAGGCCAUGCUGCUCAGCUCCUUCUCAAACUCCUAGCUCCCUCCUUGUUCCACCAACCACUCCGGUUUCCCUUCAGAAGCCCUAUUCUCUGCCUCUCAUUUGAAGAAGCAAUGCAAGUUUCACUGUUCCCUUAUCUCAGAGUCUGCCUUAGUCAUAGCAGCAGCAUCUUUAAUGUGCCUGAGAAACCAAGGGCUACCCAAGCUUUCAAUUCUUCAGUCACAACGAACCAGCAAGGACUCUGAAAGAGGAGCUUGUCUUAGGCUGAGUUUCCAGAAGCAGAUUCUAACAAGAGGAUUCAUGUGAAAGUCGUUGAAGAAGUGUUCCCAGAGAAAACUUGUGGGAGGGUGUAUGGGUAAGUGGGAACCAGGAAGGAGACCAAGCAGAGGUGUGACAGGAAGAUUGCUUUGGUUCAGUCCCUCAUGGGAACUCUGGAGAUACCUUAAAAUUGCUCCCAGUGGGGAGCAAGAGAGCUAGAGUAAUUGACUCCCAAGUUUGUCAGCCAUUUGUGCAGAGCAGCCCCUGGGGGACCUAGCUUCCCAGGCUCAAUACCAAGAGAUGCAGGUGCAGGAUGUUGGGAGAGACGGCACAAGAAAGCUAAUGUGGGGAGCACACUGCUAUGAGUUCCAGAACUCUGAAAAGAGCAGAAGCAGGCAUUCCUGUGGAUGUGGCAGCAGCAGCUCAUUCGCCAGGAUGAGAGCUAUUUUUCCAGGCCCUUCUCCCAUUGUCUGAUCCUCUCAGGCAUGACUUGGCUUCUCAGGAUGACUGCAGCUUGCAGGGUGCUCACUGACAGAAGAGACAGUUCAACAGUAUCUUCCUCAGCUGCUAUUUGCAAACGGGUUGCUGGUCUGAACACACAUGCAGAGAGAGAAUUCCUCCUGACUUGCCACAUAACUGAAUGCCCACAGUGUCAGGCAACCAGCCAGUAUACAGAGGCCUCUGAAAACCGGAGGACGCCGCAGACAUUCAAGAGGCCCUGCAGACAUCCUGCAGCUUCCGAUGCGUCUCCCCUCAGGUACUUGUCCACCUCUGACAUCUCUGUGUUGUGAGGCAGCAACAUUGAAAAUGUAUGCAUUUAUUCCCUCCUCCUUCCCAGAGCCUCCAAAUGACAGUAAAAAGAUUACAACAGAAAAAGCUUAAAUGCACAAGGACAAAGAGAAUUGGUGAGGUUAUAGGAAUGGAUGAUAGAUGUCAAGAAAAUUUUGGAACCUGGAAAGUCAGUGGUAACUGACUCAGAAGAACAGAGAAAAUUGAAGUUUAAACCUAAAAAGGUGGGUAGUACACAUCAAAGAGAAGCAAACAGACUCCUUGCUGCAGGACCCCUAGUGGAGUACCCCUGAAGGUUGGGGUCUGGAGUAGGGUUGAAAGUAGAAGACACCUUUUGGUUAUCUCAAGAGCAGUGAGCCUCCCAGAUCUCUAACCCCAUUCUACACAGCCAGACUGCCUUUCCCCACAAUGGAAGAGGAUGGGAAUGUUCAAAUGAAGAGCUGUGGAUUUGGAGCUCCCAGGUACAGCUGAGAACAGGGAACUAUAGUGAAAAUGGGUAUGAAGUGAAAGUCUCCCUGUGAAUGGCAAAGCUCCCAACUCAUUUCCCCUGCUCAGAGGCCGGAAUGAUGGAAGACAAGCUUUUAUACCCUCUAGGAAAAAGAAAGGAAGAAAGUUGCCUCUCUGGGAAAACUGACUAGGCCAAGAGAAAAGACCUACUAACUAACAUUGGUAUCUCCCCAGCGCAAUGUCUCCCCAAUGAAAUAGCUGGGUCCCCCAACACCUUCCCUCCAUCAAUCUCAGGGCACAGAGGCCCCAUCCACGCACACAGAACUUUAGAUCAGUGUUGUGGUAUCUUUAAGUCUCAGUAGGUGGGGUAGCAUCACCUGACAUCAGAGGAGAGCAACUCACACAAAAGACAGAGAUUUGAAUCAUCCACCCACCCAACCAGACAGAAGAGGGGGAAUCAUAUUGCAGAAAGUAAAAGAAAAUUUUAAGGAAAAUCCUAAACCUCAUAUGUCUUGUGUUUAUGAAAACACAAGAGUAACCUAUAAAAAGGAAUCUAACAAUAAAAUUUCAAAAAUAUAUAAAGGGUAUAUAUAAAGGAACUAGAGUUCUUGAAUAUUCAAAAUAUGAUAACAUAAAAAACUUAACUGAUAAAUUAUAGUAUAGGUUCAGUAAUUCUCUGACAUAGUAGAAGAAAAAAAAAAGAUGCAAAUAAUAGGAGAAAAGAGGCAAGAAAAAUUCAAGGGUUAUCCCAGAAGAUCCAAUAACUCACUCAUA